GAGGCUCUGGGCUGCGCCCUCCCCUCUCGGCCACUCCUGGGCUGGGAGAGAUGAGCAGGGCACGGAAAGCGGAUGGUGGUUUGCUCCUUACACCCCAGUAGCCCUACUGGGCGAAGGAGGAGCCGAUUCUGACCCCGGGUAAAGGGAUGGGGAGCAGAAGGGUUAAUAGGUUCCUUCCCUCUGUAAGUAUAUUUCUAAAGGGCGGGGUCAGACCAACGUUUGCCAUUCCCCCAGUCAGUUUUCUCUUACUGGAAUAAGGGAGGAGAGGCGUUAGGAAAGUUAGGGUGGUCCUCGCAAGCUGCCUUUUCUAACCUGAAAUAAGUUUAUAGAGCGUAGCCUUAUCUUCUUUAGAACCCCUUGAAAGUCCUUUAGUCGGUUCACCUACUAACAAAGCUGCUAGUUAUUUAAUAAUUCGAGAUAGACACUAGCGAGAAGCGCUUAGCGGUCUUUCUGGGUGUUCUAAAUACUCUUGCCCUGAGCUGCUUUAAUGCUGGUUCAACGUCACGCACACACGUGACAGCUGGAAACUGCACGUGGAUCAGGGGUUUGUGUGUCUGAGGAGAGACUGGUGACAGACGUAGAGUGCAGCAAAGGUCGUAGCCCAGAACUAAACUGGAAGAGCACGAGGUUGUAAUGCCUUUUAACAAAUGCGUGGUGCUGCAGCUCCCAGGAUAAUGAGAUGAAAGAUGGGCGAAAACAAGAGGCCUAACUGUGACAAGCUGCUGAAAGUACCCUGAAAGAACAAAGCAAAAGGGACAGACUAUUUGAAUGCCAAAUGCUCUUCGUUUUUUUGAAAGCAGUGAUUGCUACAUGGUUUUCCAUUUCUAAAAAUGUCCUAAAUUCCAGCACAACAAAAAAUUCUACAGGAGUUCCAGAAAUGCCUGAUUGUUUCCAUUCUGGGAAAAUUUUUUCUGGGUACCAAGCUCCCUCUACCCCCCGACCCAAACCAGGUAUCUCCUAACCCACUGACAGAAGGGAGAACAAGAGCUUCUGUUGGUGGAGGGAGUGGCGACCCUCCUCCGGGAAGUAAACAGAAUCCCAGCUCUGGUUUCCCCCAGGAUAAUCUAAAGACGUGGCGCCCACCAGGAAGGCUCACCCGUGAAUUAACUGGAGGCCCUGGCAGCCAAACAGAGCAAGACGCAGCUUAACGCUUCUACAAGUUAUUCCUUUAGAACUCAAAACUCCCCAGCAGCCUGAGCUGGAUUUAAAACCAUGCAGUUGAAGAGGGUGUGGACAACUUGGAGAAAGCUCCAAACCCAUAAAAGUGACUUCAGGAUUAGAGGCCCAGAGGACAAGUUCUCUGAGGAAGUUCUAAGGGAAUGGGCUGCUCAGCCAGGGGAAGAGCAACUCUGGUAAUUUACUAAUGCUUCUUCAGAGGUACAAAGAAAAUGGCAGCCAGAUGCUCCCCACUACCAUGAGAACAGGGAAAGAGAAAGUCGGUUUGCUACAAAGAAGGAAUUUGUUUCUGGAAAGGCUGUUGGAAACAGGUUGGGCAUUACCGGAAAGCUAAGUCCAGACAACUAGAUAUCCUCUCAAGGUGAUUCAAGACUUGGUCGCAAACUGUUGAAUCACUAUGUCGCAUACCUGAAACUAAUAGAAUAUUAUGUCAACUGCCCUUCAAUUAAAGAAAGGACAUGUUUUGCCCAACAACGGUUGUUACAGCAGAUGAAGAUUCUGGCAUCAUCUGUUUGCUAAAUAACUGUGAAAAUACCACACGAGCAAUUCUUUCCAGUGGCUUUAGGAAGCUUUGAACCACUGAAUUGCCUGGCCGUAGUUUAAAUUCUCAAAUUGCAGAGCAGUUGCCUCUGGGAUUAUGAAAUACAUACAUUUUAAUAAUUAGUACACCAUCAGAAGGCACUGUUGGAUAGGAAAUAAAGUGGGAAAGCCAGUUACGUUUUAAAUAUUAGCAUCCCCAAAUUUUAGAUUAGAUCUCCAUCCCAAACUCUUAAAUGAAAAAACUCACAUACAGAGAUGCCAAUUAUUUAAAAUCUCUAUUUUUUAGAGAAAGAUCUAUUCACAUAAUUUUUGGUCACAAAUAAGUUUAAAAAAACAUUUUUAAAGCAAGUUGAACUGAAAAUUCUCUCUGACAGAGUAGCUGUGACAGAGAUUGUAUGGCCCUCCAAGUCUCAAUUAUUUGCCAUCUGGCCCUUCACAGGCUGUUCACUAGCUCUUGGAUUAGAUAAUUUUUUAGGUACUGUUUCCUAAACUUCUUUAAGGUAAGAAUCCCCUGGAGGACUUGUUAAAAUGCAGAUGACCAGGCUCUGGCCCUGGAAGUUCCGGCUCAUGGAUGUGGUACUUGAGUCCAGCCUGCUUUAUUAUUUUUUUUUACCAACACUGUCACCUUCAGGCAAAGGCACGCUGAGGGCCCUUCAAGCUCUAAAUUGUAUAAAUACAUUACCGAGUUCAUCUUUCCCUUUGGCUUUAUCUUUCUAAUGAUGUUUAUUUUGAUAAGCACACUAUCGGUCUGGGUAUGAGGACGAAGGUGGAACUGGGGAUGGUAGUUAAAAUGUGCUUCCCAGCAAACGUCUUCCACACAUGAUUCACCAAGUAUGAGGUGCAUAUGUAGCUAAUCAAGAGUUGGCACCACCUCAGAUUUGAAGUUAACUCCAUUCCUUCUUAAUUAUUGUGCUCUCUGCAACCCAUCUCACAAAAGUGUCCUCUCAUAAGGGAGCAUAGCUGGUCCUAACUUGGCAGGUUACGUGUGAGAAGGAAAUCGUGAUUAAGAGAAACGGACAGAAAGACGGAGGCUCCUUCUGUCAGUAGAGUUCUAAAUGGAGUGAUCGCGCAACGCUUGGACUUUCUGUGGCCGGUUGGACAAAGCGAGACAAAAAUGUGUUCCUCGCAUGAAAGCAGAUUUACAUUAUCCCGCGAGUCCAGCAAUGAUUUAUGAUGCCAGUUCCCUGUGUUUGCUUUUUGCUUUGGUUCAUCUGUUUUUCUCUCGUUCACCCGCACCCGACUUUGUCGUUGAUGCCAGACUGUCUCACUGACUGUCACAGCUGUCCGGAGAGCGUUCCUGUGUUCCCUCCCCUGUCCUCCCAACCCCAGCAAGAUUCCCUUUUCUUCAAAACCGGGAACUCACAGGGCUGCCUCAAGUCUUCCUGUGCAGAAUUACAUUAUGUAUACCUGGGGGCUGAGCCCUUCUGAGGACGAGGAGCAGGAGAGUCUCAUACACUCUGGCACGGACAUUUAUUUGGGGUUUGAGGAGGCCACCAAAGCCCCGAGAAGGCAAAUUUGAAAAUCCAGGCAGUGUUAUUUUGAUGGCUCUUACUCAGCAGGGAGGGGGCUCUGUCUAUUGCCACAGCGCCAUCUUUUGGUCUCCAGCUAACAGUGCUCUUGACUCCAGAAGUAUGAAGCAAUUCCACAGCGCAGUGGAAUGUCCUGUCCAUCCGAGCUGUCACCACAAUAUUGUAAACAAUAUCCUGAAAGCAAAUCUUUAAUUAAGCAGUCCUCCUCAUUUGAGGUUGAUUGUUGGAACUUGACGCCAGUGGGAACUUCCACAGGCUGCGAGGUUAGGGCUCUUCAACCUUAUACCACUCAAAUCUGCCUUCCUUCAGUUAAUGGCUUUUAAUGGCUUGCUUUCCACCCACCCCAGAAAAUGGAGUGGUCAUUGUAGUCCCUGCACCCACAGUUAACUUUGAGGCCCUUUCUGGCCAUUCCUUGGUGAGCUACAAAUAACAAUAAGUCAAAUAAAAAUUGCAAAUUUAAAA